rnacentral:tRNA from 1 species
GGGGCAGUAGCUCAGUGGUAGAGCUUCCGCUUCAUAAGCGGGACGACCUGGGUUCGAUCACCCACUGCUUCC